UACGUAGGGUGCGAGCGUUAAUCGGAAUUACUGGGCGUAAAGCGUGCGUAGGCGGUUCGUUAAGUUCGUCGUGAAAGCCCCGGGCUCAACCUGGGAACUGCGAUGGAAACUGGCGGGCUUGAGUGUGGCAGAGGGGGGUGGAAUUCCGCGUGUAGCAGUGAAAUGCGUAGAGAUGCGGAGGAACACCGAUGGCGAAGGCAGCCCCCUGGGCCAACACUGACGCUCAGGCACGAAAGCGUGGGGAGCAAACAGG
rnacentral:rRNA from 1 species